UCACCCAGCUUCCUUUUCCCUCCCUCUUGAGAAGGAACGGUGAUGUCUUGAGAGUCAGAAAGAAAACAGUGACCGAAUAGACAUGAUUUAUUGAAAAAUAUGCAGGGUUCUUCUGGGAGGUCUGUCAGGCAUCUCAUCUUGACAUUCCUUCCCCAUGACUUUGAUCCCACCUUGAUUCCUGGUACUGCCACUAGACUAGAGAGUCACUGAAAGGUACAAGCUGAGUCAUUUCUCUCCCAUGUCACUGUUGGAAGAAACAAAGAUAAUUUGUAUGGAAAGUAAUGUGCAUGAUUUCAGUCUCCUGUAAAUGAAGGAAGCUUCCACAAUGAAGUCAAGCACCUGGAGGAGAAGGAUGCUGAUAAAUGCAUCUCUCAGCAUGGACACACUUGGGAAAGGCCGAAUUUCCUUGGGCAUCCUUCUAAUUUCCCCUUGGUUUCUCUAAAGGAGAGGACCACAUGUCAUGGAAAACAUCCACAUAUUGACUCAUCCUGGGUAAAGUCCAUGUGAACUAGAGAGUUUUGCCAUAUUCAUCCAGUCAUUCAUUCAUUUGCCAUGGGGAUGCAGUGGCGUUUCAAGUGUAGCUAAGGUGAAAUCCAUGGGAAAACCAGUUUUUAUUCACUCCCUGGAGUUGGAGAAGCCAUACCGAGAAACUUCGAGGCCUACGAAGCGCUGCUUUUAACAGUCCCAAUUUUGUGAUGAUAGCAUACUUUUCUGAGAUUUAAAAAUAUCAAGAUUAUU